CAAUUAUGUAUUAGUCACAAAUCACAUGUCACACUCACAAAGAUACAAUAUGGGUCACAAUUACAAAUUUAAUCAUAAAUCACACAUUUUUAAAGGUCAAAUUUCAUACUAAUCACAAAUCAUACAAAGACACAUUACAAAUACACAAAAUAUGGGUCACAAUUACAAAUCGCACAUUUUUAUACUUUACAAUUUAUUUAACGAUCACAAAUUAUCUAUUUUAUUGAUCACAAUUAUCUAAAUAACCGAUCACAAACACUCUUCAUUCCACACCACUCCACCAUCACCGGAAGCACCAAAACGUCAUGCAACGUCACCUCCACCAUUGUGCCACCUCUUCUUUAUCUUCCUUCACCAGUUUCUCCUUGCACCAUCAUCACCACCGAUAACUAGAAAAAUGGACAGAAAAAUUGCUACCAUGUUAGCCCCAACUCACUCUUCCUUAAAACCACAACCACUUCCACCACCCAAUUCGUCGCCUUCUCCUCUCCAACACACUCCAUUCUGCAUCACAGUAUUCACUACCACCUUACUAGCAGCACGAUUGCCACUGCACCUGCUCUUCUCUACCUCUCACCACUGAUUUCUGCUCCUCUUGUCGAAAAAAUGAUUUACUCCCCGCUUACUCCUCUAGAUUCAUUCUCCUACUCUUACUGCUCCUCCAGUUCUUUACCCGCUCCUCUCGUCAAGACUGGAUUUGCCUGCUUGUCCAUCUUGCUUCUAUGCUGCUCUCUCACCUUCUUAUUUCGGAUUCUGAUUUUGUUCGCCUCCGAUAAUGGAUCCUCUACAAAUUGUGGUGUUGUGGAUUAUGGUAAUGGGGAUAGGCGGGUGGGUAGUUGUGAUAGGAUGGGUAUGUUUUGAACAUUUACGCCAUGGAUUGUGGAAGGUGGCACUGGUAGGAGUUUUGUUGGGAGUAGUGGCUACAGUGGUGAAGUAGUGGAAAAAAGGUUAAAGGAUAGGGUUAAGGAUAUGGAUAAUGUGAGGUGAGGUGAUGUGAGGUAAGGUAUAGUAUAUCUGCGUUUUCAAAAAAUAAAGUUAAGAUCUAAUGUUUUGAAAUGACAAGUUAAAAACUAGAGUUGUGUGUUAUUUUCUCUAAUUUUGGCGCGUUAAUAUUAUAGAAAAUAAGGGUCUAUUCU
rnacentral:lncRNA from 1 species